rnacentral:rRNA from 2 species
GAACGCUGGCGGCGUGCCUAAUACAUGCAAGUCGAGCGAAUCGAUGGGAGCUUGCUCCCUGAGAUUAGCGGCGGACGGGUGAGUAACACGUGGGCAACCUGCCUAUAAGACUGGGAUAACUUCGGGAAACCGGAGCUAAUACCGGAUACGUUCUUUUCUCGCAUGAGAGAAGAUGGAAAGACGGUUUACGCUGUCACUUAUAGAUGGGCCCGCGGCGCAUUAGCUAGUUGGUGAGGUAAUGGCUCACCAAGGCGACGAUGCGUAGCCGACCUGAGAGGGUGAUCGGCCACACUGGGACUGAGACACGGCCCAGACUCCUACGGGAGGCAGCAGUAGGGAAUCUUCCGCAAUGGACGAAAGUCUGACGGAGCAACGCCGCGUGAACGAAGAAGGCCUUCGGGUCGUAAAGUUCUGUUGUUAGGGAAGAACAAGUACCAGAGUAACUGCUGGUACCUUGACGGUACCUAACCAGAAAGCCACGGCUAACUACGUGCCAGCAGCCGCGGUAAUACGUAGGUGGCAAGCGUUGUCCGGAAUUAUUGGGCGUAAAGCGCGCGCAGGUGGUUCCUUAAGUCUGAUGUGAAAGCCCACGGCUCAACCGUGGAGGGUCAUUGGAAACUGGGGAACUUGAGUGCAGAAGAGGAAAGUGGAAUUCCAAGUGUAGCGGUGAAAUGCGUAGAGAUUUGGAGGAACACCAGUGGCGAAGGCGACUUUCUGGUCUGUAACUGACACUGA